rnacentral:rRNA from 1 species
GAAUUCGCCCUUAGAGUUUGAUCCUGGCUCAGGACGAACGCUGGCGGCGUGCCUAACACAUGCAAGUCGAACGGAACUGCAAGGAACAAGACUUCGGUCAAGUGAAUUGUACGUUUAGUGGCGGACGGGUGAGUAACGCGUGAGCAAUCUGCCUUUCAGAGGGGGAUAACAUUCUGAAAAGAAUGCUAAUACCGCAUAAUGUGCACAGUUGGCAUCGACAGUGCACCAAAGGAGCAAUCCGCUGAAAGAUGAGCUCGCGUCCGAUUAGAUAGUUGGCGGGGUAACGGCCCACCAAGUCGACGAUCGGUAGCCGGACUGAGAGGUUGAACGGCCACAUUGGGACUGAGACACGGCCCAGACUCCUACGGGAGGCAGCAGUGGGGAAUAUUGCACAAUGGGCGAAAGCCUGAUGCAGCAACGCCGCGUGAGGGAAGACGGUCUUCGGAUUGUAAACCUUUGUCCUUGGUGACGAAAAAAAUGACGGUAGCCGAGGAGGAAGCCACGGCUAACUACGUGCCAGCAGCCGCGGUAAUACGUAGGUGGCAAGCGUUGUCCGGAAUUACUGGGUGUAAAGGGAGCGCAGGCGGGGGAGCAAAGUCAGCUGUGAAAUAUACGGGCUUAACUCGUAGACUGCAGUUGAAACUGUUCUUUCUUGAGUGAAGUAGAGGUAGGCGGAAUUCCGAGUGUAGCGGUGAAAUGCGUAGAGAUUCGGAGGAACACCAGUGGCGAAGGCGGCCUACUGGGCUUUAACUGACGCUGAGGCUCGAAAGUGUGGGGAGCAAACAGGAUUAGAUACCCUGGUAGUCCACACUGUAAACGAUGAUUGCUAGGUGUGGGGGGUCUGACCCCUUCCGUGCCGCAGUUAACGCAAUAAGCAAUCCACCUGGGAAGUACGACCGCAAGGUUGAAACUCAAAGGAAUUGACGGGGGCCCGCACAAGCAGUGGAUUAUGUGGUUUAAUUCGAAGCAACGCGAAGAACCUUACCAGGUCUUGACAUCGAGUGACGAGUUCAGAGAUGAGCUUUUCCUUCGGGACACGAAGACAGGUGGUGCAUGGUUGUCGUCAGCUCGUGUCGUGAGAUGUUGGGUUAAGUCCCGCAACGAGCGCAACCCCUGCCAUUAGUUGCUACGCAAGAGCACUCUAAUGGGACCGCUACCGACAAGGUGGAGGAAGGUGGGGACGACGUCAAAUCAUCAUGCCCCUUAUGACCUGGGCUACACACGUAAUACAAUGGCCGUUAACAGAGGGAAGCAAAGCCGCGAGGUAGAGCAAAACCCUAAAAACGGUCUCAGUUCGGAUUGCAGGCUGCAACUCGCCUGUAUGAAGUCGGAAUUGCUAGUAAUCGCGGAUCAGCAUGCCGCGGUGAAUACGUUCCCGGGCCUUGCACUCACCGCCCGUCA